rnacentral:rRNA from 1 species
GACGAACGCUGGCGGCGUGCCUAAUACAUGCAAGUAGAACGCUGAAGCUUGGUGCUUGCACCGAGCGGAUGAGUUGCGAACGGGUGAGUAACGCGUAGGUAACCUGCCUGGUAGCGGGGGAUAACUAUUGGAAACGAUAGCUAAUACCGCAUAAGAGUAGAUGUUGCAUGACAUUUGCUUAAAAGGUGCAAUUGCAUCACUACCAGAUGGACCUGCGUUGUAUUAGCUAGUUGGUGAGGUAACGGCUCACCAAGGCAACGAUACAUAGCCGACCUGAGAGGGUGAUCGGCCACACUGGGACUGAGACACCGCCCAGACUCCUACGGGAGGCAGCAGUAGGGAAUCUUCGGCAAUGGACGGAAGUCUGACCGAGCAACGCCGCGUGAGUGAAGAAGGUUUUCGGAUCGUAAAGCUCUGUUGUAAGAGAAGAACGAGUGUGAGAGUGGAAAGUUCACACUGUGACGGUAUCUUACCAGAAAGGGACGGCUAACUACGU